rnacentral:rRNA from 1 species
GCUCAGAUUGAACGCUGGCGGCAUGCCUUACACAUGCAAGUCGAACGGCAGCGCGGGAGCAAUCCUGGCGGCGAGUGGCGAACGGGUGAGUAAUACAUCGGAACGUGCCCAAUCGUGGGGGAUAACGCAGCGAAAGCUGUGCUAAUACCGCAUACGAUCUACGGAUGAAAGCAGGGGAUCGCAAGACCUUGCGCGAAUGGAGCGGCCGAUGGCAGAUUAGGUAGUUGGUGAGGUAAAGGCUCACCAAGCCUUCGAUCUGUAGCUGGUCUGAGAGGACGACCAGCCACACUGGGACUGAGACACGGCCCAGACUCCUACGGGAGGCAGCAGUGGGGAAUUUUGGACAAUGGGCGAAAGCCUGAUCCAGCCAUGCCGCGUGCAGGAUGAAGGCCUUCGGGUUGUAAACUGCUUUUGUACGGAACGAAACGGCCUUUUCUAAUAAAGAGGGCUAAUGACGGUACCGUAAGAAUAAGCACCGGCUAACUACGUGCCAGCAGCCGCGGUAAUACGUAGGGUGCAAGCGUUAAUCGGAAUUACUGGGCGUAAAGCGUGCGCAGGCGGUAAUGUAAGACAGUUGUGAAAUCCCCGGGCUCAACCUGGGAACUGCAUCUGUGACUGCAUUGCUGGAGUACGGCAGAGGGGGAUGGAAUUCCGCGUGUAGCAGUGAAAUGCGUAGAUAUGCGGAGGAACACCGAUGGCGAAGGCAAUCCCCUGGGCCUGUACUGACGCUCAUGCA